rnacentral:lncRNA from 1 species
UUCCUUCUCGUCUUGUGCACCAGAGGCAUGGAAUAGUCUACAAUCCAUGCUUCAUCUAGGUAUGUUAGUGCCACUGAAUUCAUUUAAAAUAUUGAUGGGAGACUCUGUUACAGAGGAUUCCGUAGUCUGUAUUCCGUGGUUAUAUGAGGUCUGUGGUUGUGAGGCAGGCGGUUGGACAUACUGCCAAAGUCUCUAAAACAACGUUGGAGGCAGCUUAAGGUAGAACAAUUAACAUUAAAUUCUCUGGCAACAGUCUCUGGUGAACAUUUCUAUAGUCAGCAUGCCAAUUUGCGGCUCCCUCAAAAGUUGACACAUCUAUGGCAUUGUGUUGUGUGAUAAAAAUGCACAUUUUAGUGUCCUUUUAUUGUCCCCAGCAGAUCGGGAGGUAAUGGGGAUAGAUGCCAUAAAGAGGUCAAUGGAAUGCAGACCGUGGGGGAUAGGAUGCUGGAUUGGCCUACAAAUCUGAUCUAACAAAGUUAUGGACAGGUGCAAUCAGGUGGCAAGAGGGGUGGAGUGCACUCCCUCAACCCAUGGGUCCAGAAGGCAGUUCAAUAACUACAGACAGAAGUGAGAUGCAGGAGGAUGGCACUCUUCUCAUACCACUCUCUAGGCUACUGCCAAAUUCAAAGCUACCUCCAGGAGGAAGCUGAUAAACAAAGUGUUUUGAUAACUUUCAAGUGUAACAGUUCCAUGUAGAAUAAACCAUACGACACAUAAUAUUGUUAGAAGCAAUGUUCUGCUAAUAUAACAAUGUACAAAUAUUAUACCUGUCUUAUUUGUAGUCACCUUUUGUCCCUUCUGACAUGCUACAUCACAUUACACGUUAGCUUGAUGUAUUUAGCUCGCUAGCAUUAUCAAAUAAUGUUGUAUAGUAAUAACUAUCUACUAACGUACUCACCAUCACCAGUAGUUUGACGGUUGACAGGCAGCAGAAGUAACCAUGUUGAAUGUAACUCAAGGGUGUGCCGCAAUUGCGGAGCUCCGUACCAUCUCGCCAUGGCCUCCCAAAUUUUGUAACAAUGUGAGGGCUCCGUAUAGCUCCGAUUUAACAUUGUCUGACUGCAGGUGGGGGCGAUACGUCCUGUAUAAACACAAACUCACUUCCUUGACAACUUCAUUCACAACAGCUCUGCUCUGAGAAGCACAAGUAUGAAUGCCCUGACUUCUGCAGAGGCCGCAUCGCAGUAAAUGCUGUACGUUCAAUGCAGACACCAGAAUGUCCAUAAAUCGGCGUUAAGUAAUCCAUACCCAACCCUCCAGUAGUUGUGAUGAACUCACUUACAAAACACAGUUUUGUCGUCAAUUUUGACACUGAAAUGAAUGUGUCUGACUCAUAUCGAUGCCACAUAGGCCGUUUCAAACCAGAGAAGUUGGUUCUAAGGGGCAGUUGACCCUCUAGGCAGGAGUUUUUGCUCUUGCUCCACAACAAAAUAUACACUGAAAUCAGAGUCAGCUAUCCUUUACUCUGCAGGCUUUGAUUUUGAAAAAAAACACCAGGCAAAAUACAUGGAAACAGAUGCACCUGCGCAGGAACUGGAAUACAA